UGCAAAACCACAUUUGUCUCCAGAGUUUUCCAGACUGCAGAAGCCAAGGUGUAUAAAGAUGCAGCUAAUUUCAGAUGAAUACCCCAGGGCUCAGACUGUGAUACAUCUAUCUACCCAUGGCAGACCUCUCCCCUGAUUUCCAGCCCAUAAGUGUAUCCCACUGGGAAGUGACCACACCAAAUUUGAGAUCAAGAUGGCUCAUUUCAUAUCAAACUUCUUAGUUGCAUCCUGUGGAUCCCAGGAUAAAGUUUACACCCUUCAGCCUGAUUUGCGAGACCGCACCACCUUGUCCCUGUGCAUCUCCAGCUCCAGCUCAUUCCAAUUCCUAGCACAUGUCUUAUGCACCGACCAUGCCACCCUCUUUGUGAAAAUGCUUGGUGU